rnacentral:rRNA from 1 species
GACGAACGCUGGCGGCGUGCUUAACACAUGCAAGUCGAACGAAGAGCGAUGGAAGCUUGCUUCUAUCAAUCUUAGUGGCGAACGGGUGAGUAACGCGUAAUCAACCUGCCCUUCAGAGGGGGACAACAGUUGGAAACGACUGCUAAUACCGCAUACGAUCUAACCUUGGCAUCGAGGAUGGAUGAAAGGUGGCCUCUAUUUAUAAGCUAUCACUGAAGGAGGGGAUUGCGUCUGAUUAGCUAGUUGGAGGGGUAACGGCCCACCAAGGCGAUGAUCAGUAGCCGGUCUGAGAGGAUGAACGGCCACAUUGGGACUGAGACACGGCCCAGACUCCUACGGGAGGCAGCAGUGGGGAAUCUUCCGCAAUGGACGAAAGUCUGACGGAGCAACGCCGCGUGAGUGAUGACGGCCUUUCGGGUUGUAAAAGCUCUGUUAAUCGGGGACGAAAAGGCCCUUCUGCGAAU